rnacentral:rRNA from 1 species
GAUGAACGCUGGCGGUAUGCUUAACCCAUGCAAGUCGAACGGACUCUUCGGAGUUAGUGGCGGACGGGUGAGUAACGCGUGAGAAUCUGGCUUUGGGUUCGGGACAACCACUGGAAACGGUGGCUAAUACCGGAUGUGCCGAGAGGUAAAAGAGAAAUUGCCUGAAGAUGAGCUCGCGUCUGAUUAGCUAGUUGGUGAGGUAAAGGCUCACCAAGGCAGCGAUCAGUAGCUGGUCUGAGAGGAUGACCAGCCACACUGGGACUGAGACACGGCCCAGACUCCUACGGGAGGCAGCAGUGGGGAAUUUUCCGCAAUGGGCGAAAGCCUGACGGAGCAAUACCGCGUGAGGGAAGAAGGCUCUUGGGUUGUAAACCUCUUUUCUUAGGGAAGAACAAAAUGACGGUACCUAAGGAAUCAGCAUCGGCUAACUCCGUG